UGGGGAAUUUUGGACAAUGGGCGAAAGCCUGAUCCAGCAAUGCCGCGUGUGUGAAGAAGGCCUUCGGGUUGUAAAGCACUUUUGUCCGGAAAGAAAUCCUUGGCUCUAAUACAGUCGGGGGAUGACGGUACCGGAAGAAUAAGCACCGGCUAACUACGUGCCAGCAGCCGCGGUAAUACGUAGGGUGCAAGCGUUAAUCGGAAUUACUGGGCGUAAAGCGUGCGCAGGCGGUUUGCUAAGACCGAUGUGAAAUCCCCGGGCUCAACCUGGGAACUGCAUUGGUGACUGGCAGGCUAGAGUAUGGCAGAGGGGGGUAGAAUUCCACGUGUAGCAGUGAAAUGCGUAGAGAUGUGGAGGAAUACCGAUGGCGAAGGCAGCCCCCUGGGCCAAUACUGACGCUCAUGCACGAAAGCGUGGGGAGCAAACAGGAUUAGAUACCCUGGUAGUCCACGCCCAUAAACGAUGUCAACUAGUUGUUGGGGACUUCAUUUCCUUAGUAACGUAGCUAACGCGUGAAGUUGACCGCCUGGGGA
rnacentral:rRNA from 1 species